CUGCGAGUCCGGAAGUCCCUCCUCCGACCUGAGAGUACACGACAGGAGUCGCAGCGCUUAACGUCAUGAGAGCGCGACACCGUGCCUGCGGGGAGAGAGAGGGGUUUCCAAGUCGCGGGCCUCAAGUGCGAGCCGUGUCUCUCCAGGUCCGAUGUCUGCUGCCGGCUUCUCUGAGCUACACGGCAAGACGAUGUUGCCGACUCAAAGACCACGGUGGUGGGAAUCGGUAAACGUGCUUAUGUGCUGCAGGGGGACAGCCUGAGCCGGUGUCACAGGCUGGGAGGGGAGUCGGGCCACGCCUCCGCUGUGCGCUGUGCGCUCCCAGGUGCGGCUGUCGGGACUGCAAACGUAGAGGUAAAACACAACCCCAAGACCCCUAAGACUUGUUACAGAACAAAGGGUGCUUACGUCAACCCGAACCUGAUUGGCUAAUGGUGAUGUAACCUAAACACCAGAUAGCAAGCUAGUAUAAAUAAAGGAACAACAUCCAGUUAAUCGGAGCACGAUCAAUUACGAAUGGAACAGAUGACCUCAGCUCGCGGAGAGGACGUUGAGUCGCUUCCCCAGCUGUCCAAAGACCCUCAUUCGUUUCAUCGCACCAGCAGAUUGAAGGACCGCCAGAUAGGAGAGCCCCCAGGACUGAAAUUUGCUGCCUGGUGGGAAGAGGAAUGCAGAAAGAAAGGCCAUAUUGUUGCCUCUGGAACAUCACCUUCAUUUCCUCUCCACCUGGCUGCACAACCCCAGUGUCCAGGGCUCACCGCUCAAAAGUGCUUGCAUUCUGCUAUAGUUUAAACAAAUGGAAGUGUACUUUCUGUUAACAGAAAGACUGCAAAUGGCCGCUGUGAGCAUGUGAUGUUGCUACAGGGCUUCUGGGCUGCACCCAGACUUCCUACCAUGUUAAUCAGGAAAUCAGCACUGCUCUCUCCCACUCCUGCAGACUCACACGGUUGGGACCUCUCUGUUGGGACCAGGUGUGGCAGAUCCUGGUCUCAUAACUUCAGACUGAGUUAUCCGGUUAGCAGAAUAACUCAUACUUUUUUUUUUACUUUGGUGAUUUAUUUGUUUGUUUAUUUAACAGAGCAUGACUCAGCUCAUAACAAAGAUAGUGCCAGGGAUCAAACUGGAGACAUCUCAGCCUCAGGCAUGAAGAUCUUUUGCGUGACCACUAAACUAUCUCCCAGCCCACAGCUCCUGCUUUUAAGGGAGGGCAUGGAAACCUCCCAAUGCAAACUAUGAAAAGAGAAGAAGCCCUUCUGGUCUUUUUGGUCAGAUCCCCUACUCUGAUCUAUAAGAGAGUUUUCUUUAUCCUUGCCUUCACUGCCUUUUCUGAGAUGUUCCUUUGGAAAGAUGUCCUUUCGUGUUGUUUUCGCCGGGCUGGCUUCACGGGCGGGUAACAGACGACCUGGGACUCAUGGCUGGGUUGUACACAGUAUCUCUUUAUUCAUGCAGGAUGCAGCGCAAUCUAUACCAAGCUAAGCUAAACUAAAAAACUACAAUCUUGUCCUUAUAAAUAUACUAGCCCAGUAGGGUGGGAACAGGAUGCGACGCAGAGGGUGGAGAGAAAAGUGACUGGUGAAAAUCAGGGUAUGACAAGGAGAGGGGGCAGAGCAGGCAAGAAUUCUAUCACUGAACCACCAAUGCCCUGGAGGGAGGGUGGUGCUUGUUAUCAGCGGUUAUGUAAAUAGAAUGAAGUGGUUAUGUAAAUAGAAUAGUGUUAAGCAGGGGGGAUUAAACUAAUGAAACAGAAGGGGUUUUUAGAAGCAUACCAACAAUUCCCCCUUUCUUUUUAACUAAUGGCCAUAGUAUCAGGAUUGUGGGGUGAACAGAAACCUAUAUCGUACAGGCGUAUUCAAAAGAACUGGCAUAAGACAUGGAAAACAAAAUAGGUGAACAGCAAUAACCAGUGUGAUGCCAAGGGGAACGUUUCUUGCCUCAAAGGGCAAGGCCUAGCAGGCGAAAGGGCAUUUCUUGCCUCUGGGAGUGCUUCAUGCCUCUGGGGGCAUCUCUUGCCUCAAAGGGCGUUUCCUGCCUCUGUGGGCAUAACCUAAUAAGGAGGGGGAGUUUUCUACCUCUGGGGACAGAGCCUGCAGGCGAGGGGAGAUGGUCUAUAAAGUCUCAAGGCAAUUGGCUGAAGUUAGUCUUUGAGAAACACAGCAGCGCAUACCAGUAAGUCUGAUGGAGGUGUCAGUCCAAAGUAGAUGGCCAUGGAAGAAAAUGCCAGAGGAUGAAAUGCUGCACGUCUGUCUCGAUGGGGAAUGUUGGCCACCAGAAUUCUGCUUUUCUGUAGAGAGUGAGCUUU